rnacentral:rRNA from 1 species
AACGGCUCAGUAACACGUAGAUAAUUUGCCCUUAGGUGGAGGAUACCCUCGGGAAACUGAGAAUAAUACUCCAUAGAUUUAGAAUGCUGGAAUGCUUUUAAAUUGAAAGAUUUAUCGCCUAAGGAUAAGUCUGCGGGCUAUCAGGUCGUAGUUAGGGUAAAUACCUGACUAGCCUACGACGGAUACGGGUUGUGAGAGCACUAGCCCGGAGAUGAUAUCUGAGACACGAUAUCAGGCCCUACGGGGCGCAGCAGGCGCGAAAACUUCGCACUGUGCGAAAGCACGACGAGGGAGUCCCAAGUGCUGGCUCGUAAGAGUCAGCUGUUUCUUUGUCUAAAAAACAGAGAGAGUAAGAGCUGGGUAAGACGGGUGCCAGCCGCCGCGGUAAUACCUGCAGCUCAAGUGGUGGCCGCUAUUAUUGGGCCUAAAACGUCCGUAGCCGGUUCUAUAAAUGCCUGGGUAAAUCGUACGGCUUAACCGUACGAAUUCCGGGUAGACUGUUCAACUUGGGACCGGGAGAGGCUAGAGGUACUCCUGGGGUAGAGGUGAAAUUCUGUAAUCCUAGGGGGACCACCAGUGGCGAAGGCGUCUAGCUAGAACGGGUCUGACGGUGAGGGACGAAGCCCUGGGGGAGCAACGGGAUUAGAUACCCCGGGUAGUCAGGGUGUAACGCUGCUCCCUGAUGUUAGUCGGCUCC